rnacentral:sRNA from 1 species
AUGUGGAUUAAAAAAUUAAUUAGAAAUUCAACUAAAAAUUUGAAAAGAUAAUUGAAUAAUUAAAAAAUAGAAAAAUGUUUCAAACACCCAAAAAUUCAUCUCGUCAUGUUCUUCCAUCUCCACUUGGUCCACUCAAGGACCAGAAGUCCCAGUAGAAGCUCAACCUCAAAUUCAACGAAGCCACACUGAGAUCUAAGCCUCUGAUGGAAGGCAGAGGUCGUUCAGAAGUCAUCGAAGGUGAGCUCGACGAAGCCGCAUUAAACCUAAAGCCGAAACCCCCAAAACCCAGAUUUCGCUGCCCUUCAAUUUCGUUAUAAGCGACCAGUCGAAUACCAAAAUCCCCAAACUCCCCUUCGAUUUCGUUGCUGGAUGCGUCUUGCAGUUUCGAUCGAUGCCAAUUUGAGGUUAGAGUGAAAGAAUGAGGAAGAGAAAGAAAUGGAUGAGGUUGUUAGGAUCAAGUGGGAGGGCAGCAAUGGUGUUUGUAAGGGAGGGGAAAUAGGUUCCACCUUUUUUUUUAUGGGUUGCAGAUGGGGGGAAGAAAUGGGUAGCAGGUGAGGACACGACUUGGAAGAAGAAAUCAAGGCAAGGUUUUGAGGUGGUGAGGAAGGUGGGGCAAAAUUCAUAGUGAGGCCUUGGGGUUUUCUGGGUUGCUUCAGGCUUUGCAGAUGAGGAAAUUGAUGGUGGUGGUUAUGGAGGAAGAAGCUUUGUUGGUGCAGAAGUGAUGGGGGAUGGGG